AUUUAUAUAGUUUAAAUAAAACAUUACAUUUUCAUUGUAAAAUUAAAUAUCAAAAAAUUUUAUAAAUA
rnacentral:tRNA from 1 species